UUUGUACUCCCUCCGUCCCAAAAAUUUUGUCUUAAAUUUGUCUAAAUACGGAUGUAUCUAGUUACAUUUUAGUGUUAGAUACAUUCGUAUCUAAACAAAUGUAAGACAAGAAUUUUGGGACGGAGGGAAUACUAC
rnacentral:pre_miRNA from 1 species